CGUCUCAACAAAACUCCUCACUAACAAAUAACACAUCUCUAACAAAUAAAUGUAAACAAACAAAAAAAAUGACGACUUUUGCGGAAUGGUGGCAUAGAUGGAGUCGCCACGACGCUCCCGCCCAACCUGUGGUGCCUCCGGUGUGUCUCAUGGCACCACCCAUCUCCGGCGGACCGGAGUCUAAUCCAGGCGGCUUGACGGCCAGCCCAUCUCCCCAGGUACUUAAGGCUAACAUUGGCAGAGUACACUUGAGUUCCUAAUGGACUCAUUCCCGGCGAAACGUCACCCUAGCCCGGGAUGCGCUCGCGCCAAGACUGCGGCAGCGGAGAAGAAGUGGCGGUCCGCUUAAGGAAAAAGCCACAAACUGGCUGGAGAAGUACUCUACAUUCCCUUUUCUUUUCUACCUAUUAUCCCUGCUGGAGCUCCAAGAGAAAUAAAGGGGAUGGAACUAGUGUUGCACAAAUCCCUGACUCAAGUUAAGAGACGCGGAGAAACAAGCACACGGAACCGAUUCGACAACUAGAAGUCACUCGGCGACCCGCAAAUGCUUCAGUGGCGUGAGUGGCCAGAAAUCGCGGCAACUGAUGGCGACGGCAAGCCCGAGGAAAGCAGAGACCCUCGGAGCCACGGCCACGUCGUUUCGGAGAAGGGACAGAGCCGAUCAAAGUCCCAAAUAUGGGUACCAAAACCUGCCGGUUCCAGACGGCGCUUAAUGGAACGGACUCACCGGUUGGCUUGACGGAUGGCUCAAUUCCCGGCUGCUACGAGGCUCGUUGGAUAAUUAUAAUUAUAUAAUUAUAAUUUCACAAUUUCCCAAUAAAAAUCGCCGUGGCCAGCGAUUGAUUCACUACCACGCUGAAAUUAAACGUU